rnacentral:tRNA from 1 species
GUCGCGGCGACGGCGUCACGCCGUCGCCCAGACGCACCAUGGUGGUGCGCCGCGGCGACGGCGUCGCGCCGU